UUGGGGAGUGUAAUACCAGCUUCAAGCUUCAGACCACAUUUCACUUUUCACACACACACACACACACUCUCUCUCGAAACCCUAGCAGCCACAAUCUCCUCUCACCGCCGCCAUCGUUUCAUCACUCUCCACCACCAUUGCUCACCAGUCACCACCAUCACUAACCACCACUAUUGCUCACCAGUCACCACCAUCACUCACAAGCAUUCAUUCAUUCAUUUCAUGUGUUCUCUCUUUAUGAUGAAACAAACUCUAUCCGUCUCUCAUGCUCUCCACACCUCCAAACUUUCCCUUCGCCGUUUCUCUUCUCCUCUUAUCACUUUCGUUUGCAAGUUGGAUGCAUUUUUUCAGAUCUGUGAGCUGAAGGUGAAAAGGCAUUAAUGGAACGGAAGUUUGAAAGGGAAGCAUGGAAUGAGCUUGUGAUGCUGCUUGUUGUUAUCUUGUUGUGUAGUGUAAACUUUUGUUGUCUUGUUUGGUUUAUAAGUGUUCCAUGUGAUCAACACUAGGAGUGAUACAUGUAGGAAAAAGGAGGUUAGAAGCUUGGAGCAGAUGAAAGAAAAUCUCCUUAUAUAACCAAUGGAGAUAUGUACAUAUGGCUAAAGUAUCUUUGCAAAUGUAUAAACAAGUUAUAAACAACAGCAUUUUGCUACGAGGAGGAAGUGUAUUGGUUGUAAAUAUUGAAUGUGUUGGUUGUAAUAAUUUGUAAUUGUAACUUAUAAGUAUUGAAUGUGUCAUUGAAUCA